rnacentral:tRNA from 1 species
GCCCCCUUAGCUCAGUGGUAGAGCAUCCGUCUUGUAAACGGAAGGCCGUCAGUUCAAUCCUGACAGGGGGCU